rnacentral:rRNA from 1 species
AGCUCCAAUAGGAUAUAUCAAUGCUGUUGCAGUUAAAAAGCUCGUAGUUGAAUUUCUGGGAGGUUUUGUUGGUUCUGUUUUGGAGGUGAAAGCUUUCAAUUCAAGGACCCGCCUUCCAUCUUGUGGAAUCUCUGUUUGUUUUUUGGUUUACUCCAAGAGAUGAAUGGCCCACUCCGUCACUGAGAGCAAAUUGGAGUGCUCAAAGCAGGCUUUAUAGCUUUGAACAAAUUAGCUUGGAAUGACAAGAUAAGACUUUUGUUUUAUUUUGUUGGUUAUGAAAUGAAAGUAAUGAUUAACAGGAACAGUUGCGGGGGUACUCGUAUUGAAAGGUCAGAGGUGAAAUUCUUGGAUUCUUUCAAGACGAACGGCUGCGAAAGCAUUUACCAAGGAUGUUUUCA